rnacentral:RNase_P_RNA from 1 species
GAAAGUCCGAGCUCCAUAGGGCAGGGUGCUGGGUAAUACCCAGUGGAGGCGACUCCAAGGAUAGUGCAACAGAGAGAUACCGCAUAUGGAAAUAAGAGGUCGGAAAUCGGAAGCUGGAUCUAAGUAAUUUUGUGUAGGUUUGUUUUAGCAACUUGCAUGUUUACUAAAAUCUGACAACUGAUAUCUGAUAUCUGACUUCUAUUAUGUAAGGGUGGAAAGGUGAGGUAAGAGCUCACCAGUAUCCAGGCGACUGGAUUGGCUAUGUAAACCCCAUCUGGAGCAAGACCGAAUAGAGGACAUCAAUUGCGGUAGCCCGCCGCGUCCCGGGAAAGGUUGCUUGAGCCUGCUGGCAACAGCAGGCCUAGACAGAUGAUCAUUCAUGACAGAACUCGGCUUAUGGCUUAUCUCACUUU